UCAGACGUGGUGUAACGGUAACACGGCCCAUUUUCCACCGUAUUCGAGCAGUCCCGGGUUCGACUCCCGGUGUCUGAC